rnacentral:rRNA from 1 species
CUAAUGUUGAAAAAUUAGCGGAUGACUUGUGGCUGGGGGUGAAAGGCCAAUCAAACCGGGAGAUAGCUGGUUCUCCCCGAAAGCUAUUUAGGUAGCGCCUCGUGAAUUCAUCUUCGGGGGUAGAGCACUGUUUCGGCUAGGGGGUCAUCCCGACUUACCAACCCGAUGCAAACUACGAAUACCGAAGAAUGUUAUCACGGGAGACACACGGCG